rnacentral:rRNA from 1 species
CACAGACCGUCGAAGAUUAACCAGCGAAAAAAAUGGCAUUGGUCUUGAACGAGUACGGGCUCGCCUCCUCUCCCUCUCGCUCAAGUCCUCGCCGUCGCCACCACCACCCACGCCGGCAGCUUCCGGCGAGCUCCGGCGCCCCGCAGCACACCCACGAACUCCCCACGGUCCGCUCCUCCCUACCCUCCGGCCAGAUUCUCCGCUCCCGGUCUCUACCGCCCGCUCGAAACGCCACCCCCAUGGCUAGGGUUUCGGGCAGGGCUUCACCGGCGCGUCUCCGGCGGCCCAGAUGCAGAUGGAGCACGCCAUGGGAGUUCCCCAUCCACCAUGGUCGCCGCCGUCAAGGGCUUCUUCACGGAGAUGUGGAGGACGCCAUGGACCUGCAGCUCCUCAAGGUUCUAUCUUGUCCACAUCCCCUCCCCUCCCCUCCCCUUCCCGUCCCUUCCCCAUCUCGUUUCCUUCCCUUCCCACGCAGGUCAACAGGGAGGAACCCUAGCCAGCAGCACCUCCUCGGAUGACGCCUCUGCUACACCAAGAUAGAGAGAUAUAUGAUAUCUACAUGGCUGCUAUGCUACUUUUUUUGUGUGAUGAAUCAUUGUGAGUUUCGAAGAAACUUCCAAUGUUACCUCCGCCAAGUUUGCCGGCGGAAGAAGCACAUCCAUCCAUUGAGCCGUUCUAUGUCGCCUGUGGUGGCUACACCAGAGGUAUGUAUCCCCUUGAAAGCUAAUCAGUUGAUAAAAAUAGAAGCCCCUACUUCAGUUUAUUGUUUCUGAAUUGGUGCUACUUCUGAUGGCUCUUGUUUCAGUUUAUUGUUUCUGAAUUUAUACUCUGAAUUCAGUAGAUAGAAGCCCCUGAAAUUUGAGCCAUCUAUGUUAUGUCACAUCCAACAAAUAAAAUCAUAUUUUUUGUGUGUUAUGCACCAAGAUGGCUUAGCAUAUGAUGUUUCCUAUGACAAUUUAUACUUUGUUUUGUGGAACAAUUCAUACAAGGGUGCACAAUAUGGCAAACGUAUAUACGCAAUUCUUGUAAUUCUAAAAUAAUAUGUUGCCCAAAAUGAACAAUUUAUGUAGUUGCAAAUUUUACUGGAGCGAUUUCGACCGAAGGAAGUGAUGUUCACAAUCGUAGUUUUAUGUUUUGAUCUAUUUUUCCAUUUUUUUACAAGAGCGAACUUCUACAUGAUGCAAGCUAACUCCCAGAGCUUAUACACACUAACUGCUACUGACUCCCAAAGUGAACACAUUUUAUUGGAUAACCGCUGGACAUUUAGUGGCUAACUGAACAAAAUCGAUAAUGUGUAAAUUACUGAAACAAAAAGUGGACUGAGCACACAACGUUGUACUGGUGUGGUUUUUGAGUCAGCUAGCUUCUACAGUCAUCCAAGAGUAACACUAACUGGUGGAGCCAGGGUAGAAAGAUAAUGAAUGAAUUCUGAUUUACAGAAUGAUCUUGUUAAAGGGUAGAAGGAGCUUUUGUUCAACUUUUCCCUUGGAUGUUGGUUUUACUUGCUGAUAGUUAAUCCCAAUGUAACCUAUUUGUAUUCAUGUAUGUAGGAGCUGAUAGGCCUUCUUAUUUGACUUGUAGAUGCACACGAAGCGUUUUUCUUUUGAUGUACUUUACACACCUAUUUGUUCUGGAGAUGCUCCUUUUGUGCAUUCAUUUCAGACAUUAUUUUAUAACUUCCGUCCAUUGAGAAAUUCUGAUUUAGUUGAUUUAUCUAUGCGCUUUGUGUUAAGUAAAGAUAACCUUAUGUGAAGAACUGAAGAUAAGUCAGACAGGGUUACCGUAACUUUUGUCCAUUCACACAAAUGCUGAUGGUCGGGUUGUGUCGAUCUGAUUAGUGUUGGAGGACGAUGUAGUUUCCGAUUGCUCUUGUUUCAUUUUAUUAUUUCUGAAUUGCCCAGUAGAUAGAAGCUCGCUAGAUUAUGGUGAUUAGUCCAACGUUGUUGGAUAUUUCUUCAAUCAACAUCAAUCUGUGUAACCUUUCAAUGGAUGUAGGCCACUGGUACCUGCUGCUUUUCUGAUAAUAGUAAACUCUAGGAGUUCUCAGUUUAUACAUACUUUCAGAGAUUUUUACAGUUCAGACAAGUGAUACUAAAUUGCUAUAAUUUUUUGAUUUGUGAUAGUGACCACCUGUGCAUCGUCUCUGUGGCAGCUGUGUGUCGUGGCAUACAUACUUAAACUCUGAACUCUUUUCAAUGGUGUUGUAAAAACAUUGGCUCAUAGGUUUUGUUAGUAACUAUUAUUCAGAACAUUUUCUUUUAAGUCAAAGUCAUUUGUGAUUCACAUCGAGAGUGUGGAGGGUUUAAGUUCAGAAAUACUAGCUGACUGCCAAUGAAUUAAUGAUUAGACAUUUUUUAAUCCUAUUUACUUGUCCUCUAGGGUAACCAUAGUAGCAUCUUGAGCCCAAGAAUAGUGUUACUGCCAUUUAACGCCGCGAUGUUUUAGCUCCAGGAAUUUGGACCCUCCUGCGAUAAGAAUCAGUUGAAAAGGUUGGUCUAUGCUACUUCUCUAAGGAUGAUUAAAUGUGCUUUGUUGUUAAUUGUAGUGAUAGUGACUAUGAUUGAAUUGGUAAGGUGACAAAUUGACAGUUAUUGCUUGAUGAUCUUACUCUUUUUCGUCACAUUGCAUACUUCUUAGAUGGGAAUCAUCGAAUGUAUACAUAUAUGACAGUUAUAACUUAUAGGGGGGAAAUAACUUAUUCCCUAUAGGCUGAUUAUUAAAAAAUGUUGGACACUGUAUUAACUGUAUUUUAUUCCUGAUUGAGCAAUCUUAUGGUCUCUUGCCCUCGAGCGAGAAACAGUCGCCCAACUCUGUGCCCUCGUUCGCCGCCGCCGCCCUUCGUCCCCUCACCACCACCGCUAGAUCCCUACGCCACCGCUCGGUGCCGCCAUCCCCCGACCUCCUCCCCAGCUCCCAGCGCCGCCCGCCCCCCAUCUGCUCCCCCGAUCCCGGCGUCGCCCGGCCCCCACCUUCUCUCUCACUCUCGGCGGCGGAGGAGAAGGAUGGCGACGACGGGCGAAGACAUCGUUGGCGGUGGCGGUGGCGGCGGUGAAUCUGGUAGAGCCCCUCUCUCUUCCCAAGCCUGCCCCUCUCACCCUCUUCCUCAAGCGGCAAGACCCCAGGGGGAUGGAGGACUGAUGACGCGGACGUUGGUGCGCUGGCGUGUCAGUCUGGCGGUGAGAGGAGGACGCCCAUCCCAGCCCGAAGCAGCAUAAGGCAACUGAAAAACGGAGCAGAUCAAGCACCUGGGGUCGCCUGAGGCGGCUCGGUGCACCUCCAAGUGCGUCAGUAGCUGCGUCCUCCGUGGAGCCGGCGCUCCUGGCAUCAUCAGGCCCUUCAACGUCAGAAGUAGAUAUUGUGUCGGGAAGGACGAGGAGCAGGAGCAUUGGUUCAGAUUUUCUCUGUCAGCCUUGUGUUUGUUUACCGAUUAUUGGCUUGACAUGAAGAUUGAUCAGUAUGUUUUCCAAGCUACAUGGCAUGUUGCAACGCUCUUCGGAGUCAAACCCUUGGGAUGGUCCCUCAAACAUGAUGGUCUAGCUAUUACAAAUUAACCAAGAUCAGCAGGACUAAGAAAUACAUAUUUGACACUAUUUGAGAUGGUCCCUCAAACAGCCACGCCGCCACACCUGCCGACCCCUGUGAAGCAUACCCACCCCUGCGCUCGGCCACCGUGGCGGCGGCGGCCCGGCUCCAGCGUGCCGGCGGUCGUGGCGGAGGCCCCGGAGGCGGUCGUCGGGGCGGGCGGCGCGAGGUGGGAGCCGAUGGGCGCGUGGGAGUACUACGACUACCGGCGGGCCAUCUACGGCGACAUCACGCACAAGGCCAUCCUCGUCGACGCCGCCGGCACCAUCCUCGCCCCCACCGAGUCCAUGGCCCAGGUGUACAGAACAGUAGGCGAAAAGUAUGGGGUGAAGUACUCGGAGGAUGAGAUCUUGAUUAGGACCUCGAGGCCUCGGAGAGCCCCUCCGAACAAGACGCGCACAGGAGCUCUGCCUUGACGGGGAAAGCAGCAAAGUUGGUGCAGUGGCGAAUGUGGGCGGGGGCGGCCGUGGAGGGAGACUUGCUGGUCAGAGCAGCAGGAGCAAGAAGGUUGAGGCGGUUCAGGGCAAGACAAGAACAUUUAGUUGGAUCCAGAGUAUUGAGAUUGCAGAGGACUCAACAAAGGAAAUUGAAUGCAUAUAAGGAUCGAGGACCUUUACAUUGGAUGCAUGAUGAUGAUCAUCCACCGAGCAGCACAUCAUCUUGGAAAAGCAGAUGCAAAUUUCUGCUAGGUUUGCUUCUCCGGUUGUCCCUCCCAUCAACUCUCUCAGCUCCCAAACCAUUAACCCCGUCCUGGUUGUUCCUAUAUUUUCUUUUUGUUUUGUUUUUACCAAUGCACUUUUCUUGACAUGUUUUAGUGUGUUCCUUCCUACGGCCAGCUCGACCAUUUGCUCCGCAGGGAGUUUUUAGCUCAGAAGGAGCAAAUAAUUUGAGAAUGCAUUGGUCUUUUCUGCAAUCUGUUGUUCCUAAGUCAUAACUUGUUCCUUUUCUUUUUCUUAGCUGCAUGUUUUCAUCCAAGUCAGAAUUUUUAUGUGCACUUGAGAACUAACCAUGCUUGUACAGAGACAUAUAAUACAGCACAUUCGUUCCAUAGGUAGGUGUAGGGUUAACCAAUAAUAAUUGCCUCCUUUUUAUUUUCUAAAACUUACAUUCGAAAUAUGUCCCUUUAGGGGGUCCCCUAGAGUGUACAACAUACCAGUAUGCAAGGACUAAUCAGUAGUCUUGUAUGCUUAUUAGUUGACCGUUUACAUGUUUGAAUAACCUUACCUCAUGCUAAAGCCGAAAAGGUGGUCAGGUAGAGAGUCUCAACUCACCAUUGGAUCAAAACUAUUUAGUAAGCUAUUUUUCUCUAUUUUCUCAGCGAAUGAGCACAAAUUCAGAAGGGUACACAAAAGAACCCAUGUACAAAGUCUCUACUCUUUUACCAGGCUAUCCACCGUCUACACAGCAGGAUUCACAAAGGAUGCUAGCAAAGUGAUAAAAUUUGGAUGUUUUUUGGAACUAUAGCAUCACAAGCCCAAUAAGAGAAAAAGCAAACAUCCUGAAGAAUGCAUUAGGAUAAUGAUUUUACCUUGGGGUUAUACUCUGCAUUGCGUGCCUGGAGAGCUAUUGCUUCCGGUUCCAAUUUACAGUCCAGGUUGACCGUCGACACAAUAUUCUUGUCAUCAAAUCAGACACCCGAAAGCAGAGUAUACCCAGGAGAAAUCAGACCAGUAAAUAGCUCUGCCCCAUACUGUCAAGCAACCAUAUAAAAUAUCAGUUCCAAAACAAGGAAAGAGACAAUUUCUUGGAAAGAAAGAAAAAAUAUCAUACACGAUAAAAUAGUGCUGACAGAACAGAUUUCAACUUAGUAACUUAUAGAGUUACACUUCAGAAAGCGCCGUGAGAAUAUGUGAGGCCCUGAAGCCUGAUAGCCAGUUUCAAAUAACGUAAGAUCUCAGUGCUCCAGUUUUAAUGUGAAAAGGGUACUGAUAUGCUUUUAUAUACUAGAAAAGCUAGGUAUGAGAUGCCUCUGGUAUCUACGUACCACUGUGUAACUCUGGAGUGAGGCAAUUGUAAUCAUAUAGUAGAUCACUACAUUUUAGGCUUAGGGUGUGUUUCAGAGAGCUCCACCCCUCCCUCGACUUCAGUUAACUUCCAAACUCCACUCUACUUCUAAAGUUCUAAACUCUCAAGCUACGUAAGCUCCAGAUUCACAUUACAUGGAACGUUUUUGUUUUAGUACCAAUUACCCUUCUUUUAAAUUUUUUUUACAGGUGGUUGCUUUAGGGCCUUCACUACUGCUAUUUUCUGUUCUCUAAGAGACAAAUUACGAAGCAAAUCAAACAGUACAAAUAUAUUAGAGGUUGUAUUCGUUAGUUCAUGUAUAUCCAAAAAUUAAUAAUUAUCACCCUAAGAGAAAUUAGUAGUUAUAGCCAUCAGCAAGAAUUCAUGAAACCAAUGGAAAUCAAAUAUCAUGUAGGAGUAUAUUGUUUUCAGUUUUCUUGUCGAACAACAUUUAUUAAUAGUUCACCAUGUAUCACUCAGUUGAUUUGGUACUACACACUGGACCGCUUGAACGUCUGAACAAGCACGAGGAUAGCUUUUGAGUGUGGACCAAUUGUCUGAAUCAAUUACUAAGUAAUUGAUGCUGCCUGAACUCUGAAUAAAAAUGCAUAGACGCUCAUGUAGCCUGAAUUUUCAUCAGGUAAUUCCCCCAUUCAUUCAUUCAGAUCCAUUCAACAUCAACCGAAUUGAAGAACACAGAUUAUAUACAACCUGAACGAACACCACAAAAAGCGAAGAAAUAGACAACCAAACAAUAAUCAGGAAUCUACCAUGUCAGAAUAUGAAAACUCACCAGUAGUAGACUGCUUUGUAGCCUCACUGGAACAGCUCGAGCGGCAUGAGGAAGGAGGCAGAGCUGUGGCUGGAUGCAAAUGAGAAGGGCGACCGGGGAGAUGAGGCCACCACGCGACGAGCAGGAGAGUCAGCAGCGCCACAGCGGACCGCGGCGGCCGGGGAGUGGGGCAUGCGGCCAGCGGGAGCAGCUGACCUGCGACGGCGGCAGGCCGCAAGAUGCGUGACAGCUUCUCCCACGACCAGCUCUAAGGGAGGUAGUGCCACCUAGAUCCAGACAGCGAGCUCUUCCGCCCAUCCAAGUCGAAUUUGACUGCCGAGGAUCGCGGAUCUGCGGCGCGUGGGCUCGGUGCCUAGCAGUGGCGCGAGAGGUCGUACGGCGGCGGAGGGAUCGAACCGUCGGGUGACGGCGCCGAGAGAGCGUUCGGCGAGAUGAGAGAGGAAGAGAGUGAGGCAGUGAUAGGAGUCUGCGUGAGUUUGCUUUUUCUUUUUCUAGAAACUUUUUUAACAUACUGUGCAGCAGCACCGUAUCCGAACCGUCUGGUGCAUCGCAAGGCAAACACACAAGCGGUCGUCAAACAAAGGAAAAAAAAUCUCUUCCACAUGCUGUGCAUUCUGAUGUUCAUUUUGCACCCCUCACUGCAGUCUACUACGACUAUGCUUUGCAAGAUUGUUGCGAGGCUUGCCUUUCUUUGCUCUCCUAUAUACAGUACGUGACUGCCAAUUAGCAUCAUCAUGUUAUCGGUAGUAGGCCAUCAAUUUGCUUAUUUAUGCCAGUCGGUCCUAUAAGCAUCCAUCUUUGAACUGUUCUAUAUAGCAGAUAGGGGAGCAUGUGUAUGUUUGCUAUAUUCCAGUGUCCUGCUGAAGCCCAAACUAAAGCAUUGUAAUAUUUUUUUUAAAGGUCAUCCCACGAGGUACUUAAUUUCACUGUGGUUAUGAUCAUUUCAUUUUUAUUGGUUGUAACUAAUUUGACUCACGCGUGAUAGAUCAUGCCUGCACCCUUGAAGCUACAUUUAUAUGGUCACGUAAAUCACUGGUUGGUAUUCUAAAGAUAUUAACUUCGACAUAUAAAUCAUUGGUUGGUAUUUCAAUGAGCGAGGACAGUUGAAUACUUGAAAAUCAUUACUUGUAUUAUUUCUUUGUAAUAACAUCAAAGAUAAUGAUUAGUGAUAGUGUAUUCAUCUACCUAAUUGCUUCAUCCAUUUUGCACGGUGAGUAUUUUAUAAUGCAUAUAUAUUCUUACAUAUUGCACAUAAUAGCCUCAUGCUAACGACAUAUAUUGCUCGUGUGGGAUAGUUACAAUCUUUGUACGCUUGCUUAAAUACCAUGUGAAUUACGCCAAAGACAACAUAUCUAAGUUAUACAUGAAUUUCUUAAGCGUGUCAAAGCAGAUAUGUUACAUUACUUAGCUGAAUCAUUGUUUUCUAUACUUUAUACAAGUACGGCCUGUUAUAACAUUUUGGCCAUCGCGGGUGGCCCAAAUUUUGGGGAGCCUGAGCUGGUUGCAUGGUUAGAUUUUGCGGAGUCUAUUGGGCGCCGCUUGGAUGUAUGAGUGACAAACACCGUGGGAAUGAAGCUAAAGACAACUUUCCUGAUAUUGUUAAAGAAUUUCUUAAGUGUAUCAUCUAGAUAUUGAUAAUUUGUAAUAGAUGUUUAGAUGAAACAUCGCUCAGUUUGUUACAUGGACAUGUCGUUAGUCUUUCUUUUUGUUAUCAAUUUUCAUUGCAAAAUGGACUUCAAUUGUUCAGUAAUUGUGUUCGUGUUAUAUUGUUUAUGCAUGUGAAAUUUAACAUGUAACUCUUGUAAACUUUGUCAAGAGCCCGUGACAACGCACGGGCCCUCUACUAGUAAUUGUAGUGUCAUAGUUUGUUUCAUUUAUUGCCUUAUAGACUCAUUUUGCCUCAGGAAGCGCUAUGUUACAGUAACAUAUUAUGUUACUCCAAACACCUCUCUCUUCAUUAAAUAUUUGCUACAUAAGCAAAAUUGUCUUGAGAUAUGUUAAGUUACUACCUAAAUUACCCCACUAUGGCUAGCCUAAGUGAAAAGCUAUGGCGCAGGUGAGACACCCCACGCUACUACUACCCCGAUCCACUCGCACCACCGAACUCUCUCGUGAAUUCCUCAAAAAAGAACUCUCGCGACCUCACCCCCACCCCUGUGUCGACCUCCUCUCCCCCACGAUCUCCUCCCCGCCGCCACCACCCACGCCCGCCAGUUCCUCGCCGGCCACGCUCCUCCGCCGGGCGCUCCAGCUCCGCCGCGCCAUCCCCUUUCCAGCUUCCUCGCGCGCGAUCCUCUCCGCGGCCUCCAGCCGCCUCCUCUCCGUCACCGCCUCCACCGAGCAGAACACCGCCGACACCGCCAUCGACCUCUCCAACGAAGAGAGCCGCCGCCGCCUCGUCAACAGUAUGAUGUACAGGAGCAAGCAGAGGGGCUUCCUGGAGCUCGGGACCUGGGUGGAGCAGGACGUCCGCUCCAUGGACGAGGCCAACAUCCGCUCCCUGCUCCAGAUCCUCGACCUCGUGAGCUAUCCUGCCCUGCCCCUGCCCUCCCCUCCCCCUUUUUAUUGACUGAUCUAGCUACUCAUCUGAUUGUUUUUCUGUCUUACUAUGGUAUCUGUAACAUACUUCAGACUAAAAAAUUCAGCUAGUAGGGAUACUCUUGGUUUCUUUGUCCUGGAUUUAUCACUUCAGCCUGUGUGUGUCACGCUUGACCCAGUCAAAUUGGUCCCGAACCACCCCCACCAGUUUAUCUGUAAUGUACUGGAAAAUUUGUUAAUGGGAAUGUUCAGUGUUAUGUGGUGUAUGCUGCAAGUAUCGGAUUUAGUUUGAUGUCCAUCAGUCGCUUCGCAAGAAUUGACUAGACAAACACCUAUAUUACAUCUCAUGUUCAGGGUUUAGUGUCAGAGAUCUUGCCUGUGUUACAGCCAAUCAUUCUCGAAAGCACAUGCGUAUUAACAAUGGUGUUCCUCUAUAGUGCUAGCUAUCUGAUUUUGCUGUAAAUCAUUGCAUAACCUAGUCGUGUUAGAUUUGUCCAUCCCUUAUGAUAACAGUAUGUAGAAUCACCAGCUGAACGUGAAGGCCCCUGCAACGUGCUGCUGUUUUUUCUUGGAGUUCUUGGAGUCUCUGGAGUGUGUUCUUGAGCUUUUUGGCCUUUUGGGAACUGCUGGACACUACAACGCCACGGCCACAACAGAGCGAUCUGCACGAAUCGAUUCACCACAGUGAGGCAUAGACCGAAACCUAGCUUGCUUCGCCGAUUCGCGGCGGCGGGGACGGCGACCGGCGUGGGGCCGUGGGCGCGUGUCGACUGGCGCUGCUGCUGCGCCGCUGGCGGGUGGCCGGUCGGGCGGUCGGCGGUCAUCCUCACAUCCUGUUGGAGGCUUGGAGCUCUCGCCUCUGACUCGAGGUCUGAGCCUCUCGGCCUCUCGCCUCUUUAUGUUGAUAACCGGAGUAGUCCUAGUGUAAAUUGAGCUAGCUCUAGUGUUAAUGUGUAUGUAUAUUACUGGUUGCUCUUGUUGCGCUGUCAGGUGAAAGCAGUUCUCCUGUAAUCCCAAGUUUCAUUCAUAUGGUUCUGAACUUCUGAUAUUAGCAUAUACGCUUUCUUCUGAACUGGGUGGAUGUUGGUUGGCAUAUAGUAUGAGUAGUUCUUAUCUUCCUUUUUAAAUUCCUUUGAAGUGGUGCUCGGUACUGACUAAUGAUGAUACUAGUUAUUUGCUACUGCUCCUAAUGCUCUAGUAGAAGAGGCUGCUGAAGGGCACACUCAAGAACAUGGGACUGCUUCAGAACAAGAAGCAUGUGCAAGUCUGGUGUAGACAAACAAGACAUCUGGACGAGAAGAAAAAGAAGUGCAAGGCUGGUAAGGUCGAGACUCAUCUUGAAUUCCCUGGACGUGAAAAGGUUAAAUUUGGUGAAGUUGUCGAAGCUCCACCAAAGUUAUCAUUCCCAAAGAGGUGAUCGACGCUGACAAGCGCGGCCCGGUGGCGCUGUGCUCUUCAACCACUCAGAGGCGGACUUCGCCGUGAAGCCCGGUGGCCACAUAGCACAGAUGAUCGUCCAGGUGAUUUCGACGCCGGAGGUCGACGAUGUGGAGGACCUCGACGCCACCGUCCGUGAGAGGGUGGAUUCGUGUCCACCGGCGUCUGAAUUCCUAGCCUUGUAGAUACAUCUAGAGAGGUGGUCUGUUUAGGUUGGUGGUAGACCACUAGGGGAGGUACCCGCCUUAUGAUGAUGGUUCUGUGUGUCUGAUGUUAAAUGGAAUCUUGAGAUGGUUCUGUGAGUUGGUUUUGUUUGCACUGGACGCAUUACCAUUC